CGUCAUGCAUCUAUUUUUAAAUGUUGGGAAAUCACCUUCCUGUAUUAAGUGGAGUGGUCCAUUACAUAAGCGGAUGUGCAGCCUUAUAAAAAGCGUUUGCCUCAUACGUCUCAAUCAUAUUGUUUAAACAAACGUUGACAACAGCUCAUCGAAAGAAGAACAAUAAGCUGAAGAUAUCUAUUGUCAUGCAAACUAGAGCCAUCGCUUACUUACUGAUAAGCCUUAUAGUCCUACAAAUGAUGUUAGAAACUGCUGGUCGGCCACAUAUGAACUGUUGCAGGUUAACAAGAUGUCCACGAGGAAGAAGCUGCGUUAAUAUUGGUUCUCGAUGUCGUUGCAAGAGCAAUCGGGUAAUUUCGGACUUUUUCGUUAUGCUUAAAGGACCUGCGAAAAGACACAGACAUAAACACAGGUACUAGAACUGAACUGUCAGACCAGACUAGUGAUAUCGGUCGUUUCAACUGUGAUAAUUAAUUUAUAUAUACUGUGAUGUAAUCUGGUCGCGCCAUUAUUGGAGGCAAUAUGCUCUGGUCUCGUCACACUUCAAUCUUGUACGGUACCUUUAGACUGCGAUGUGAAAAGAGUUCACUGAGAUACGAGCUCUGCUCGUAUGAUAUUUACAUGAACUGAGAUGUGACCUCUACAUAUAUGGAUGGAUUCCGACUUCUGCACCCUUUGCGAUAUGAUAAAAAGAUUGUUUUGCUGUGGUUAGACAACAGAAUUCCGCACGGCAUAUGAACUGUACGUGUUGCGAAAUGAACUAUUCUGUCCGGAAGUUCUCUACUGUUGUAUGUGCACUGCAUACUGUAACGUGAAAAAACAACAACACGCAAUGCGAUGUACGAACUCAAAACACAAGUAAGAUGUGAAUUCAUCAAAAUGCAAAAUCUAAUAUCAAUUCUAGUCAUUCGGAUAGUGAUAUACCUGCCAUUGCGGUACAUCCUCAAGUCUUUAGUACUGUCAAUAUGACGUUUAACUGCCUUUACUUGCUGAAACAUUUUACAUAUCUUUUAAAUGAAAAUAUUUGUAAUUAUAUGAAUGCAUAUGUUUUAUAUUUUACUUAUUGUUGUAUGUAUUACAUUAAUAUACAGCUGGUCAGUAUAUUUUAUUUUUAAAUCUAUCUCAUAAUAUUUUAAUUUGUCAAAUUUGUUUUACAUAGUUUCGUCAGGUUUUAUGGUAUUAUAUUUUAGUAAAAUUUUAAACUUUA
rnacentral:lncRNA from 1 species